rnacentral:misc_RNA from 1 species
GAAACAACGGCAGCUGUAACACUUGUGCCAUAACUUCCAACCCUUGUUCUCCUCUGCUGUCCCAGAACACUUCCAGAGACGCUGAAUAACUAAGAUUCAUCAGUUCCGAGCCGUGCAACAAUGCGGGUAUUCUCCAUAUUGCACCUUUUCUUCCUGUUACUCGCAGUGACGCUGAGCCUGCAGCCCGUGGCAGCUGACCCUCUCCCCGACCCAGUUCCUCCUAUCGAACUGAACCUCGAUAUACCGGACGGCGUCGAUGUCAAUGAACAGUUAGUUGCAAAAGAUAAGGAAGUGGAAUGCAACGCGACAGUUACACCGUAGUCAGACUGAAACGAAUGGAGAAAGAGGAGGAGAAAGAGGAGAAAAGAAGACUUAGAAAUGAAGAUCAGAACAAGAAGGGAAGUGGCCAUGAUAAAGAUAAAAUUGAUCAUGAUAACAGGGAUGGGAGUAAGAACAGCCAGAGAAUAACAACUGAGGGGAGAAAAUAAACAGUAAUACAAACGAUAUAUUGAUUAGAAAAGAAAAGAAUGAUAAACGAUGGAGGAAAAAAAAAUAAAAGAACAAGAGAAUAAACAACGAAGAAAAGAAUAAUAAGUAAUGAUAAGUCAACAUGGAAGAACAUAUGUCUAGAGAACACGAACAAAAAAAGACCCAAAAUCAACAACAAGAACAAGGAAAACAAAGGAAA